AAACCAGCACCUCAAGUGGUCAGGAUGAUUAUUGGGCCUAAAGCAUCCGUAGCCUGCUCUGGAAGUUUUCGGUUAAAUCUGUACGCUCAACAAAUGGGCUGCCGGAAAUACUGUAGAGCUAGGGAGUGGGAGAGGUAGACGGUACUCGGUAGGAAGGGGUAAAAUCCUUUGAUCUAUUGAUGACCACCUGUGGCGAAGGCGGUCUACCAGAACACGUUCGACGGUGAGGGAUGAAAGCUGGGGGAGCAAACCGGAUUAGAAACCCCUGUAGUCC
rnacentral:rRNA from 1 species